GGUUCCCGGGCUGGAAAGGGAGCGGGGGUGUUUCCCCUCCUGCGUCCUUGGAAACGGCGCUUAGGCGUUAAUCCACGCCUUUAGCUCCCAGCCCCCACGGUUUAGGAAGGCUUCCCGGCAGCCCCUCUUCGCCGCCUGCUCGGAGCUCACCACAGGGCUCUGCAGCCGCCCAAACGCUCUGGAGGGCUUGAUAAAGCCAGGUCUGAAGCCCCCCGUGGGCUGCUAAGAGAAGUUUUUCAGGACGGGCUCCUGAGAGCCCAUGGCGAUGAGCGGCUAUGUGGCUUUCAGGAAUAUCCUGAUUAGCCUGGGUACCACUUGUCUGAGAAAUUCACAGGACCAUCCAUCAGAACCAACAGGCACUACAUUUCUGAACUGAAGGGUCAAGAAUAAACACUGUAUGAUUUAAGAAAAAUCCCAAGUGUAUAAAGAUGAACAAAAACCUAAGGACAAAG